GUCUUCAAGUGCAGAAACUGGAACAGCAGCCCAGUCGUUCGCCUGCUCUGGUUCCUGGUUGCAUUGAACUGAACAGCUUUGCUCCACUCGUCACCAUGAUGCUCGUGCCUUGGAGCCGGGCAGCCAUGGACUGAGCUCUCUGGAACUAUGAGUCACACAAAUGUCCUCUCCGUUUCACUGUGGGUAUCAGGGAUUUUCCCCAUCAACGAGAAGCUGAGCAACAUAGCACCUUCAGUUUCACUUUGGAUUCCUGCAAGUCCCUCCCACACAAGCUCACAGGGUACCCAUGAAGGACCGAAUGUCAGCCAUCCAUCAAGGAGGCAUGGAGCUUUUCAUUUAUUCGGACAGAGAUCUACCGGAAAUGAGAACCUCACAGUCACUCAGAACAGCUUUCUGGACUUCAGCUUUUAGGAAAUGAUGAGUACUUAUCCACCCUAAUCCUAC
rnacentral:lncRNA from 1 species